rnacentral:rRNA from 1 species
CCUACGGGAGGCAGCAGUGAGGAAUAUUGGUCAAUGGACGAGAGUCUGAACCAGCCAAGUAGCGUGAAGGAUGACCGCCCUAUGGGUUGUAAACUUCUUUUAUAUGGGAAUAAAAUGUUCCACGUGUGGGAUUUUGUAUGUACCAUAUGAAUAAGGAUCGGCUAACUCCGUGCCAGCAGCCGCGGUAAUACGGAGGAUUCGAGCGUUAUCCGGAUUUAUUGGGUUUAAAGGGAGCGUAGGUGGAUUGUUAAGUCAGUUGUGAAAGUUUGCGGCUCAACCGUAAAAUUGCAGUUGAAACUGGCAGUCUUGAGUACAGUAGAGGUAGGCGGAAUUCGUGGUGUAGCGGUGAAAUGCUUAGAUAUCACGAAGAACUCCGAUUGCGAAGGCAGUUCACUGGACUGCAACUGACGCUGAGGCUCGAAAGUGUGGGUAUCAAACAGGAUUAGAUACCCUAGUAGUC